UUAUAGUUCCCUGGGUUUGCUUGGUCAAGCGGGGGAUAUUAACCAAUUGACAUAUUUUCAGUUUGGUUGGGGGCAUAUACUGCUAGGUACAUCAAAUAGCACAAUUAUCAAAAGCUGUGUAGAGAGAGAGAGGCAGAGAGAUGAGGUAGGCUGAAAAUAGAGCUGGUCGCCUUCUGGGUCUGGUUUGUAGUAUUUCUUUUUUUUCUUUUUUCCAACCUAGAGGGCUUUGGUUUGUGGUGUUGGGUAAUGGAAACUGGGAAAACUGAAUGACAGGGCCUUUUGGGAGAAGCAGAAGCAGUAGAAUCAGGUUUCAGUGUGGUGCCAGCUGCACAAGCAACAA